UAAAAUUUUUUAUGUUUUUAUAAAUUUAUUAUAAAUUUAUUUUACAUAUAAAUUUUAGUGUUUAAUUUUAAUUAUUUUAAAAAUAAUAAAAUUAAAUAUUAGUAGUAAUUAAUAUUAAAUAUUUAAGAAAUUAAGAUUUAGUAAUAUUUAAAUUAGUAACUAAUUUUGUGCCAGCAGUUGCGGUUAAACAAAAAUUAAAUUAAAUUAUUUCAGUUUAUAAUAAAUAUUAAAUUGUUUAAAUUAAAUUUUAAAUUAUUAAGUAAAAUUUUAAUUUAAUUAAAUUUUAUAUUAAAAUUAUGAUUUAAUAAAUUUUAAUAUAAACUAGGAUUAGAUACCCUAUUAUUAAAAAUUUAAUUUAUAAUACUAAAAUAGUAAAUAAUAAUUUAUUGAAACUUAAAUAAUAUGGCGGUAUUUUAGUUCAUUUAGAGGAAUCUGUCUAAUAAUUGAUAAUCCACGAUUAAAUUUACUUAAUUUAUAAUUUUGUAUAUCAUUGUUAAAAAAAUAUUUUUUAGUGAUAAUAAUAUUUAAAAUUUAAUAAUAAAAGUUAAUUCAGAUCAAGAUGCAGAAUAUAAUUAAGAAUAUGAUGGAUUACAUUAAAUAUAUUUAAAUGAAUAAUUUAUUGUAAAAUAAAUUUGAAAGUGGAUUUAAAUGUAAUUUUAAUUAGUUUAUUAAAAUGAUUAAUAAUUAAAAUAUGUACAUAUUGCCCGUCACUUUCAUUUUAAAGUUGAAAUAAGUCGUAACAAAGUAGAGGUACUGGAAAGUGUUUCUAGAAAGA
rnacentral:ncRNA from 1 species